rnacentral:lncRNA from 1 species
AAAUGAUAUUCGGCCACCCUCGUUACAGAGGGAAGCCAGAAACGACAUGCUUAUAUGCCGUUUUGAAGUUUUAGAUUUGAGAAUUAAAAACAAAUUUUACCAUUAAAAAAUAAUAAAAGCUAAUCAAAACAAAUUAAAAAAUCUAAAUUCUUAUCCCUCCCCUCACUCACCCCCUCUCUCUCACCCGCUCUGUCCCUCUCGGCUCUCACUCUCAGCCACGAAGCUCGUUCCCCUCUCACUCACCCACAAGCUCACUGUCAAUAUUUUACUCAGAUCUCAGCUAACGCAUCAUCAAAACCGCAACCAUGACGCUAGGCUUAGGAGGAUCCAGUGUCGUGGGUCAGUUUCUUCUCUGAUCUUGCCCUUUUUUGUUCAAUCUAUUUAUGCCCUUGAUUGAUUUAUUCUCUUUGUUUUGUUGUGUUUCUUGUUCUGGCAAAAUCUAUCGCAGCUGUUGCUUUUAUUAUUUUAUAAUUUUUUUGGGUGGUUUUGUGUAGUCUUAUGAACAUUCUUUUUGGCAUAAAUGCAUCUGGGUUACUACGUUUGAUUGUUAAUUAGACUUGAUCCGUAAUUCUAUGCAUUUUUUUAAUUUUUUUUCGCGAAAUUAAGUUAAUUUAGUUUAAUAUUAUUAGAUUAUUGUCACCUAAAAGUAGUAUAUUUAAUCAGUUAAAGAAAUUCUUUUGACACGGCCUUUACGAAACCUUGUAUGUGAUACUUUGAUUAGAAAAGCAUUUGUUUUUAUUUUUUAUUUAUAUUUUAAAAUUACUAGAAAUAAGUUAUUUGAAGUGUGAUAUUUUGUGAAAUGUUAAAGCUUAUGGUUUGGUUGUAAUUAUGUUUUUGCUUAUAUAAUGUUUACGUCUGUUGGAACUCAUUUUUUUUUUUGGUAUUUAAAGUUUGCAUAUAUGGUGUGUAUUAAGAUUUUCAAGUUGUUCUUCAAACAUAUUCUGGGUAGUUUGAUAUAUCACACGUUUCUGUGAAUUCUUUAGUUGAGGCAAUUGUUUUUGGUCUUAGCUGCAUUGUUAAGUUCUUUACCACAUAGAAUUCCCUAAUUUUCUUCUGCUAAUCCAGUAAUUGCAGCUUCAUUCUAAGGUUCUUUAUUUUCUAUAAAGCAUAUAUUGCUUCAUUAACCCUCCUCUAAAAUCCAUCCUUUUCUUUUUCUCUUUAUGCUGCUAAUAUGUAUUUGAUUCAUUCCAAUCUUACAGAUCAUUGUUGGAUGCCGAAUCAGCAUACAAUGCUUACAAUUGUGAGAGGAAAAUGAACAACCAAUUGCCUGGUUCAGUUAGGCUUGAAGCUAGGAAGGUUGACAUAGAAACAUUUGUUUAAGUGAAUAAUUGUAUCUUUUUUUUUUAAUUUGGCAUUUCUAUAUGAACUACUCUUAUUGUUGUAAUGGUUAUUGACAAGCUCAACCUUUGAAUAUAUGGAUAAAAAACCUUCAAAAUAUUUCCAUGUUCAAUCAUUGAGCAUUAGAGUAAUAUCAUCCAACCAACUAAUACACAAAACACAACUAAAAUUAUACAACAAAAGAAUAAGUCAAUGAUCAAUCUGUUAAGUCUGCUCCAAACUUCUCUGCCAUUAUCAUUUUGUUGAAGUAGCAAUUGCUGAAAACUCCCUUAUUGAGAACCUUUAUACGAUAUCCAAGAUGAAGAAUAAGGACAUAGAUGGGAUUGCAAGUUUGUACAAAAUAAGAACCAUAUUACAUUCCAGAAAAUGCAAAAUUAAUUAAGCAUAAAUAUAGAAACUGGAUUAUAACUUACAAUGUAAGAGUCAAAAGGAAACGAUGGAUAAAUAUCACAUCCUUGUAAUUGGUAUGCGAUCACAUGUUCUUAAAUAAUGACCAUUAUUUAGUGACCAUUAAAAAUUAAAAAAAAAUUAAAUAAUAUUACAUCAAAGAACAUUAAAUUUACUGGAUCCUUAUUGCUCUCCUGCGUUGGGACUACAAUAUCCACCUCAGAAGAUAAUGGUGUUUGUACAUUUAAUGUACAUUUGAAUCCUGCAAAUCCAUAAAAAGAUACAUUAAAAUUAAAAUUAAAUUAAUUGUAGAAUAAUUAAGUAGUUUAAUCUCACCUUAAUUGUUGUCAUCUAAUUCUUCCUUUUUUGGCUCAUAAGAAGAUAAUGGUGUUUAUCAAACAACAUCAUACUUUUUUGGUUUCACAUCCACAUCAUUAUCAGUUUUUUUCAUUAUUUCCAUCUAAAUUGUUGUUCAUCUAAUUCUUCAAAAUCUUCGACUUUAGUUUUUUUUUUCAAAUCCUUCAUUUUUAUACCAUGAAAAAUAAAUUGUAUUAAUCAUAUAUAAUUCAAACAAAAUCUACAUUUCAAAUAUCUUAUUUCUAAUAAUUUUAAAAUAUAAAUACAAUAAAUCAAAACUUUCCUCAACAUGCUAAAUUUAAUUACCUAGGUAGGUGAAAAAGGUCCAAAAUCGUCAAGCACACCUUCAAGUAAGGCUGGUCGGCGACGUGGUCGGUGAUGGGCUGGUCGGCGAUGGGCGUGGCGUGACAGCGAUGAUGGCUGGUCAACGAUGGGCGCGGCGUGACAACAAGUUUCGUGGGUGAGUGACAGCCUGAGAGAAACAGCUUGCUAGUGGGUGAGUGAGAGAGACAGAUCGGGUGAGUGAGAGGGAAGGUGAGAGAGAGAGAGAGAGAGAAUAAGCGAGUGAGAGGGACGGGUAAGAAUUUUGGAAUUUUCAAAUUCUUUAGAUUUAAUUUUGAUAUUUUUCAAUGGCAAAAUGUAUUUUUAAUUUUCAAAUUUAAAACUUCGAAACGGUAGAAGAAGCAUGUGUUUCUGGCUUCGUUAUGGUCUCGUGGCGGCCGAAUAUCAUUGCCCAUAACGUAAUAAAUCAUUGGUGAAAAUGGUGAUACUUGGGAAUUUUUUAAGGCUCUGUCUUUUUUCUUUACUUUAAAAGUCAAUUUGUUUAGCUUUACCUUUGAUUUGAAUUUUUUGUUUCUGUUCUUUGCAGCCAACCAAUGAAAAUGAUGAUACUUAGGCUGCGAUAAGUAUUGAUUUAACAGGAACUACAUUGGUAAGCCUAGUUGCAAGACAAGAACUACUUUGCAAAGCAUGCUUUGUGUAUAAUUCUGAGCAAGGAUUUAGUUUUUGAAGGGCAAGCUUGCUGGCUCAGUGUAAAUGUUCCAAGUGCAAAUACCACCUUAUGUAAGCACAAAAUGUAGUCUCUAUUUAUUUUUUAGUUUCUAUAUUUGUUUGUAUAAUUAUAUGAUACUGGAUUUGUUAGGAAAUUGAUGGGUGAAGUAGGGUCA